CAGUCGCCGCGGUAAUACGUAGGUGGCAAGCGUUGUCCGGAAUUAUUGGGCGUAAAGGGCUCGCAGGCGGUUUCUUAAGUCUGAUGUGAAAGCCCCUGGCUCAACCGGGGAGGGUCAUUGGAAACUGGGAAACUUGAGUGCAGAAGAGGAGAGUGGAAUUCCACGUGUAGCGGUGAAAUGCGUAGAGAUGUGGAGGAACACCAGUGGCGAAGGCGACUCUCUGGUCUGUAACUGACGCUGAGGAGCGGAAGCGUGGGGAGCGAACAGGAUUAGAUACCCCCGUAGUCCCUGUCUCUUAUAC
rnacentral:rRNA from 1 species